rnacentral:tRNA from 1 species
GGGCGCAUAGCUCAGCUGGGAGAGCACCUGCCUUACAAGCAGGGGGUCAUAGGUUCGACCCCUAUUGCGCCCA